rnacentral:lncRNA from 10 species
AUGGCACUCCCCAGCCUUUUGGGCACCAGGACAGUUCCAUGGAGAACAAUUUUUCCAUGGAUGCAGGUAGGGGGAUGGUUUUGGGAUGAAACUGUUCUAUCUCAGAUCAUCAGGCAUUAGAUUCUCAUAAGGAGCACACAAUUGAGAUCCCUCCCCUGCGCCCCUAUGAGACUCUAAUGUGGCCGCUGAUCUGACAGGAGGUGGUGCUCAGGCUGGAAUGCUCACUGCUCCCCAUCCUCACCUCCUGCUGUGCGGCUCCGUUCUUAACAGGCCACAGACCAGUAGUGGUUUGAGGCCCGGGGGUUGGGAACCCCUGAUGUGUAAGUACCAGGUGGGUGGGGGUCCUCCUGACUUGUAGGUGCCCAAUGUGGGCCAGGCUCAGCUCGACCUGGGUGUACACAGCCCACGCCAGCCCCCACCCAGCCCCACCUUGUCUGGGUCCCUUGGGGCCAAUGUGCACCAAGGACAUGGAGGGCCCUGUGCCACUGAUGGGACAGCAGUGGAAUCAGACUAACAGUGGUCCUCUCAGCAGAAACUUUACAAGCCAGAAGAGAUUGGGGGCCAAUAUUCAACAUUCUUAAAGAAAAUAAUUUCCAACCCAGAAUUUCAUAUCCAGCCAAAUUGAGCUUCACAAGCAAAGGAGAAAUAAGAUCCCUCUUAUUGGGGCCCUGCGUCCCAACAUGGUGGAGGACUACCUAGGCUCGGGGGAGAGAAGACAGGAAGGGCAGCUGAGAGUGCCACACACACCCCAUCACACGUGCACUGCAGACCCCCUCACACAUGUGAGCACAGGGCAUAAGCACGGCCUGAGUCUAUGGAUGGAGGGAGGCUCCCAGGCCCAGAGCACACAGCAAGCCAGGUCCCAAGGCCAGUAGACAAGAGGCUCCUGGCCUGGAUGACGAACACAGAGAUGUGUGCCCAUGUGACGCCAUGGGAUAGGGCCACCGUGGCCAGAGGACAGGAGCGAGGACGGUGUUGCCGGCUGGACGGACAGACAGGCAGAGGGAGGCCAGGCAGAAGGAGCCGGCUGGGUAGCCUCUAAACCGCUAGGAAUGGGUAGAGUCCAUGAGCAGCAACGAUGCAGGAUUCCCACAAUCCUUCCAUUUUCCAAGUUAGUAUUGAGCCUGCUAGGAGCUGAGGAUAAGGCAGCACAUAAGGUAAGUUUCCAAGGGUCAAAUUUCCAUCUGUGUGUGGAAUUUGUGUUGUUCAUAGACUAAUCAAGUGGUUUCAGAUGUCUGGGUCUGUCUCUAAGUCUGUUUACUUGCAAAUCCAAGCCAAGGUUAAACAAAUGGUCUUCAUUAAACCUUCAUUUGAUCUCAUGUCCACAGUCUGCUCUGCCAGUAGUUUACAGCCAGAGGCAAAGCAAACCAAGAACACAGAGCCAUCUACAGGGAAAAAUCCUGGGUAACUACUUCUUCUCAGAAAAGCCCAUCACCAUCUCCACGCUCAAGAGAAUAGUGCUGGACCCCUACCUCACACCAUGUACCAAAACUAACUCAGAACAGACCAACAACCCUAAUGUAACAGCAAAAAAUAUAGAACUCUCAGACAAAAACCCAGGGGAAAAGCUUGACAACAUUGCUUUUGGCAGUGAUUUCUAGGAUAUGACACCAAAAGCACAAGCAGCAACAGAAAAAAACAUUAAAUUUAAACCAUCUGUGCACCAAGGACACUGAACAGUGAAAACACAACCAUGAAAUGGGAGAAGAAGUGUCCGUGACAGUCGCUGUCAUGGAAGUCACCUCCCCAGCACCAC